rnacentral:rRNA from 1 species
AUUGAACGCUGGCGGCAGGCUUAACACAUGCAAGUCGAGCGGAGACUUCGGUCUUAGCGGCGAACGGGUGAGGAAUGCCUGGGAAUCUGCCUGUUAGUGGGGGAUAACGUUCCGAAAGGAGCGCUAAUACCGCAUACGUCCUACGGGAGAAAGCAGGGGGACCUUCGGGCCUUGCGCUAACAGAUGAGCCCAGGUCGGAUUAGCUAGUUGGUGGGGUAAAGGCUCACCAAGGCGACGAUCCGUAGCUGGUCUGAGAGGAUGAUCAGCCACACUGGAACUGAGACACGGUCCAGACUCCUACGGGAGGCAGCAGUGGGGAAUAUUGGACAAUGGGCGAAAGCCUGAUCCAGCCAUGCCGCGUGUGUGAAGAAGGCCUUCGGGUUGU